CGCGAAUCGCCCUUCGGGGCGCAGCAGGCGCGAAAACUCUACAAUGCAGGCAACUGCGAUAGGGGAACAUCGAGUGGCGUCCAUAUUGGAUGUCUGUCCUCCCGCCUAAAAAGCGGGAGUUAGCAAGGGCCGGGCAAGACCGGUGCCAGCCGCCGCGGUAAUACCGGCGGCUCGAGUGGUGGCCGAUAUUAUUGAGUCUAAAGGGUCCGUAGCCGGCUUUGCAAGUCUCUCGGGAAAUCCAGCGGCUUAACCGUUGGUCGUCCGGGGGGUACUACAUUGCUUGGGACUGGGAGAGGUAGGAGGUACUCAGGGGGUAGGAGUGAAAUCCUGUAAUCCUUUGGGGACCACCGGUGGCGAAGGCGUCCUACCAGAACAGGUCCGACGGUGAGGGACGAAAGCUAGGGGCACGAACCGGAUUAGAUACCCGGGUAGUCCUAGCCGUAAACGAUGCUCGCUAGGUGUCACAACAGUCGUGAACUGUUGUGGUGCCGUAGGGAAGCCGUGAAGCGAGCCACUUGGGAAGUACGACCGCAAGGUUGAAACUUAAAGGAAUUGGCGGGGGAGCAC
rnacentral:rRNA from 1 species